rnacentral:tRNA from 1 species
UAGCUCAGUGGUAGAGCGCAUGCUUAGCAUGCAUGAGUUCCAGGGUUCAAUUCCUAG